CCUGCACCCAGCUGUGUGUCCAUGAAGAGUGACAGGUCAAAAGAUCAGGACAUCAACUUCAGAGGGGGCGACAGUCAUCCUGAUGCCAGCCAAACUCAGAAAUGGAGGCCAGACUCUCCUGCACCCAGCUGUGUGUCCACGAAGAGUGACAUGUCAAAAGAUCAGGACAUCAACUUCAGAGGAGGAGACAGUCAUCCUGAUGCCAGGUAUGAACAAUGAGCACAGUGGUUUGAUGUGUACAGAGUGUGUGAGGAAUAUCAGAUAGACUACAGUGUUCAUCUUUAAAA